AUAUAUAUAUAUUACAAUUGUUUUAAUAUCCAUGAGAGCAGAGUAUUUUUGUGAAUAAUGUUUUAACAAAAGGUCAAAAGGUUAAACAAUAACAACAAUGUUUCCCAGCUCAUAUUUACCAAGGGUGCCAACAUUAGUGGAGGGCAGUGUAUUAUGUAAGGAAUAAUACACGACAGAAUGUAUGGUGUAAUACAGCCUGAGGUGUAUUGUCUUUUAUAACUGCGCGGUGUGGCAUGUCAUUCAGGUUAUACCACAGUAAUUUGUCAGUAAUGACACUGUUUAAUUUAUUAAUGAACGACACAUCACGCUUUUUAAUGAUUUAAAGUUACAUGUAAUGUCAUGGAAUAUCCGAGAGACAAGUUAGUUCCUGUUAUCGCUUACAUUAUAGCCGCGACAGUCAUUCCCCCUCACCAGCUUCUCCUUUUUCCCUCUCUCUGUCAAAAACCGCAGACUGAUGUUUUUUACUGAGAAAGUGGAAAGCGUAAAUUCCUCUGUCCUCAAGAUUUUCCUGUGCUGGGAAACUUUAAAAAGCACCGUGACUGUUACAAAGCGCUGACAUCCGAGACUGCAUCUAUAAAUGUUCAGUAAACACGUCCUAACACAUUACUGAUUAUAAAUUUUACUUUGUUAAUUUAAUCUAUUUAUUAUUUUAGGAUUAGGUUAUUUGACGCAUCCGCCAACAUAACAUGUCCCGGUAUAUGAGCGGUUACUAUAGAAACGAUAACGUAUUCGAGUUAUGUUACAGCUGGAACUACUGUCCGAGCCGUGCUGUUAUACAGAAAUAAUACACACCUUCUGACCAAUCAGAUUCGAGAGUUGGACCACGCAGUGGGGAAACCGUUGGGUUUAGCUUUCAGUUUCACCGGUGAAGACUGCAUUUGAUGUUAAAAAGGAUAAGCCAACGUGAAGAGCAGAGAGCUGUCUAGGGGAGAAAAGCAAGCCAUUUUGAAGCUGAGAAAAGAGGGAAAAUCAGUCAGAGGCAUUACUUAAGCAUUUGGCAUAGACAGUACAAUAAUUUGGAAUGUCCUGAAAAAGAAAAAAAACACUGGUGUACUGAGAAACACACACUGAAUGGGUCGGCCAAGAAAAACAACAGCAGCUAUAGGUCCUCUGGGAGAACCCUUGAAGAUUCUGUGUAGAAACUGAUUUCAGUGAGUCAAAUCACUUGAUUCAAUGAGUCGACUCUUAAGCGUCUCUUUUUUUUCCUCUCUGUAUGUCGGACAAAGUUUACAAUCUGUUGUCCAGUGAUGUCUUCUUGGCCUAAAUAUGGCUGAAAUAGUUUCCUGAAAUCUUCCUCUACCUUCUAAUGACCUAUAUAGUAUUACUUUGCAUUGAAUUUGAUCAAAUCUGUUGAAGUAAAAGUCAGCAAGGCACUACUGUGCACUGACGGAUACAGUCAGAGUAUGUGCGUUAAUGUUAUUAAUGUCACACACACACACACCCCUCACCAUUCACUCUGACGAACAGUUCAGAUGAAAGAGGUUUCCAUGGAAGCAUUUUGGCUUAAAUUCCAUUGCAAGACUAAUGGCAUUGCGUACAUCUAUAAAAGAAACACACGGCUCAUAUAUACGAGAGAUCUCUCAGCGUUCACCUCAAAGAGCCGACUCGUUCUGCUACUACAGAGUGCUCUCACAGACGUGUUCUGUGUGGAACUCUUUUAUGAAGCUGAGAACAUGUAACUAGAACUGGGGUUUGUACCUGUGUGUGUGUGUGUGUGUGUGUGUCAUUACAGCUGGUUGUUAGGCCCUUGCUCUGUGGCCAAGAGGCCAGGAGAAAGGGUGUGUGUGUGUGUGUGUGUGUGUUAGUUAGUGUGUUAGGCACAGGAUUACAGUCUCCCACCCAUCCCCAGGAAUAUCCCUCGCUCUGCGAAAAGGAAAUACCAGAUUAAAGCUACAUUACAUUCCACUCAGGCUUGUUCCCAUCUCUCUCAGCUUUCUCUCUCACUCACUGUGUCUGUUAAUCUCGCUCGUCCAUCUCUCUCUCUCUCUCUCUCUCUCUCUCUCUCUCUCUCUCUCUCUCUCUGCCCUCUCUUUGACGCUUUUAUAUCACCUAUUUUGCC
ensembl:lncRNA